rnacentral:rRNA from 1 species
UACAUAGGGUGCAGGCGUUGUCCGGAAUUAUUGGGCGUAAAGAGCUCGUAGGUCGUUUGUUACGUCGGAUGUGAAAACCUGAGGCUCAACCUCAGGCCUGCAUUCGAUACGGGCAAACUAGAGUUUGGUAGGGGAGACUGGAAUUCCUGGCGUAGCGGUGGAAUGCGCAGAUAUCAGGAGGAACACCAAUGGCGAAGGCAGGUCUCUGGGCCAAUACUGACACUGAGGAGCGAAAGUCUGGGGAGCGAACAGG